rnacentral:rRNA from 1 species
CAGCAGCCGCGGGAAUACGAAGGGUGCAAGCGUUAAUCGGAAUUACUGGGCGUAAAGCGUGCGUAGGCGGUUUGUUAAGUCUGUUGUGAAAUCCCCGGGCUCAACCUGGGAAUGGCAAUGGAUACUGGCAAGCUAGAGUGUGUCAGAGGAUGGUGGAAUUCCCGGUGUAGCGGUGAAAUGCGUAGAGAUCGGGAGGAACAUCAGUGGCGAAGGCGGCCAUCUGGGACAACACUGACGCUGAGGCACGAAAGCGUGGGGAGCAAACAGGAUUAGAUACCCCCGUAGUCCCUGUCUCUUAUAC